AAAGUUAGCAGCUUCGAUUUAUCUCCUUAUUUUUGUACUUUGAGGUUUUGAAAGCCUUAUUAGGAGAAAGAAUUUCUCCACUCCUUA
rnacentral:tRNA from 1 species